rnacentral:rRNA from 1 species
CCUACGGGGGGCAGCAGUCGAGAAUUAUUCACAAUGGGGGAAACCCUGAUGGGGCGACGCCGCGUGGGGGAAUGAAGGUCUGCGGAUUGUAAACCCCUGUCAUGUGGGAGCAAAUUAAAAAGAUAGUACCACAAGAGGAAGAGACGGCUAACUCUGUGCCAGCAGCCGCGGUAAUACAGAGGUCUCAAGCGUUGUUCGGAAUCACUGGGCGUAAAGCGUGCGUAGGCUGUUUCGUAAGUCGUGUGUGAAAGGCGCGGGCUCAACCCGCGGACGGCACAUGAUACUGCGAGACUAGAGUAAUGGAGGGGGAACCGGAAUUCUCGGUGUAGCAGUGAAAUGCGUAGAUAUCGGGAGGAACACUCGUGGCGAAGGCGGGUUCCUGGACAUUAACUGACGCUGAGGCACGAAGGCCAGGGGAGCGAAAAGGAUUAGAUACCCCAGUAGUC